GACGAACACUGGCGGCGUGCUUAACACAUGCAAGUCGAACGAAGUGGCGAACGGGUGAGUAACGCGUAAUCAACCUGCCCUUCAGAGGGGGACAACAGUUGGAAACGACUGCUAAUACCGCAUUCUUACGGAGGGGAUUUCGUCUCAUUAGCUAGUUGGAGGGUUAACGGCCCACCAAGGCGAUGAUCAUUAGCCGGUCUGAGGGGAGGAACGGCCAAAUGGGGACGGAGACACGGCACAGACUCAUACGGGAGGCAGCAGUGGGGAAGCUUCCGCAAUGGACGAAAGUCGGACGGAGCAACGCCGCGUGAGUGAUGACGGUCUGCUGGUUGUAAAGCUCUGUUAAUCGGGACGCGGUAAAGGAAUAGAAAGCAACGGCUAACUACGUGCCAGCAGCCGCGGUAAUAC
rnacentral:rRNA from 1 species